GACGAACGCUGGCGGCGUGCUUAACACAUGCAAGUCGAACGGAAAGGCCCUGCUUGCAGGGUACUCGAGUGGCGAACGGGUGAGUAACACGUGGGUGAUCUGCCCUGCACUUCGGGAUAAGCCUGGGAAACUGGGUCUAAUACCGGAUAGGAGCCAUUUUUAGUGUGAUGGUUGGAAAGGUGUUUCGGUGUAGGAUGAGCUCGCGGCCUAUCAGCUUGUUGGUGGGGUAAUGGCCUACCAAGGCGGCGACGGGUAGCCGGCCUGAGAGGGUGGACGGCCACCCUGGGACUGAGAGACGGCCCAGGCGCCUACGGGAGGAAGCAGUGGGGAAUAUUGCACAAUGGGCGCAAGCCGGAUGCAGCGACGCCGCGUGUGGGAUGACGGCCUUCGGGUUGUAGACUCCUUUCGCUAGGGACGAAGCUUUUUGUGACGGUACCUAGAGAAGAAGCACCGGCUAACUACGUG
rnacentral:rRNA from 1 species